rnacentral:ncRNA from 12 species
GGGUGCGGUCUAGCAACCAGGAUGUUGGACCGCAGGUUGGGGAAUGGUCGGGCCGCCAUUC